CUGAAGCUCCAGCUUGCUGGGGUGGAUGAGUGGCGAACGGGUGAGUAACACGUGAGUAACCUUCCCUUGACUCUGGGAUAAGCCCGGGAAACUGGGUCUAAUACCGGAUAUGACUUCUCAUCNCAUGGGGGGGGGNGGAAAGAUUUAUCGGUCUUGGAUGGACUCGCGGCCUAUCAGCUUGUUGGUGAGGUAAUGGCUCACCAAGGCGACGACGGGUAGCCGGCCUGAAAGGGUGACCGGCCACNCUGGGACUGANACACGGCCCAAACUCCUACGGGAGGCAGCAGGGGGGAAUAUUGCACAAUGGGCGCAAGCCUGAUGCAGCGACGCCGCGUGAGGGAUGACGGCCUUCGGGUUGUAAACCUCUUUCAGUAGGGAAAAAGCGAAAGUGACGGUACCUGCAAAAAAAGCGCCGGCUAACUACGUGCCAGCAGCCGCGGUAAUACGUAGGGCGCGAGCGUUAUCCGGAAUUAUUGGGCGUAAAGAGCUCGUAGGCGGUUUGUCGCGUCUGCCGUGAAAGUCCGGGGCUUAACCCCGGAUCUGCGGUGGGUACGGGCAGACUANAGUGCAGUAGGGGAGACCGGAAUUCCUGGUGUAGCGGUGAAAUGCGCAGAUAUCAGGAGGAACACCGAUGGCGAAGGCAGGUCUCUGGGNNNNCUGUUACUGACGCUGAGGAGCGAAAGCAUGGGGAGCGAACAGGAUUAGAUACCCUGGUAGUCCAUGCCGUAAACGUUGGGCACUAGGUGUGGGGGACAUUCCACGUUUUCCGCGCCGCAGCUAACGCAUUAAGUGCCCCGCCUGGGGAGUACGGCCGCAAGGCUAAAACUCAAAGGAAUUGACGGGGGCCCGCACAAGCGGCGGAGCAUGCGGAUUAAUUCGAUGCAACGCGAAGAACCUUACCAAGGCUUGACAUGUUCUCGAUCGCCACAGAGAUGUGGUUUCCCCUUUGGGGCGGGUUCACAGGUGGUGCAUGGUUGUCGUCAGCUCGUGUCGUGAGAUGUUGGGUUAAGUCCCGCAACGAGCGCAACCCUCGUUCCAUGUUGCCAGCGGGUUAUGCCGGGGACUCAUGGGAGACUGCCGGGGUCAACUCGGAGGAAGGUGGGGACGACGUCAAAUCAUCAUGCCCCUUAUGUCUUGGGCUUCACGCAUGCUACAAUGGCCGGUACAAUGGGUUGCGAUACUGUGAGGUGGAGCUAAUCCCAAAAAGCCGGUCUCAGUUCGGAUUGGGGUCUGCAACUCGACCCCAUGAAGUCGGAGUCGCUAGUAAUCGCAGAUCAGCAACGCUGCGGUGAAUACGUUCCCGGGCCUUGUACACACCGCCCGUCAAGUCACGAAAGUCGGUAACACCCGAAGCCGGUGGCCC
rnacentral:rRNA from 1 species